GGCCCUGGGUUGGUAAGAUUCGCUAAAGACGGUGGCGUGUUCUCUCCCGAGUCUGCUUUGUGGGGUUGGUGGGGCUUUUCCAUCGGGAGCCGCACCAGCCACCCUGGCACCGCACUUCCAGAACCGCGUCAGCACCAAGGACAGCGCCAGGGAGCCUUGGCUGCAGGGACGGAGCCCCAGAUGUGGCUGAGAAGGGGAAGAGGAAGGACCGUCGUGCCCUGGAGCCUGCGACCGCCACGCCCUUGUUCCAGCCUCAGCCUUCAACCCCCUACACAGACGCCCAGUGAGCACUACGUGCCGCACGCAGGACUGAGGGGUGGAGAGUGGGAGGCCAUGGGUGUCAACGUAGGGUCCCUGGAGGUAUUGAUUCAGAGGGCAGUAGCCCCCGGGCAGGUCCUGGCUGGCCCCACCCAGGACCUCAGUCGCUGACCUCAGGACACGGUCCAGGCUCUUUCUAUUCACGUCUGUGCGUGGCAUCCUCCACGAUACAAGCGAAAAUCACCAUUCCCCGCCUGCCUGGCGUUGGCAGCCAACCCCCAGGAGGCUCCCGGCCCUGGCUUCUCAUUUCUCACCUCAGUGCGAGCAUGGAUCUAGGAGAACCCCAGCUCUCUUACAAGUUGAUGAGUCAGGCCCCUGUCACUUCCUGGAUCUUUCAAUCCUGGCUGCCCGCAAGGCCAGGAAGAGCGAAAACAAGGGCUGGAUUCAGCGGAAACACGGCAACACAGGACACAGCCACAGCGUGAGGAGCGAGCAAGCUGGAAAACCUGGAUGGGGGUCUGGACUGGUUCACCUGCAAUGAGAUCAAUGAUCUAAUCGCGGCAGGCGUGGUGGCUCAUGCUUGUAAUCCCAGCAGUUUGGGAGGCUGACGCGGGUGGAUCACAUGAAGUCAGGAGUUCGAGAACAGCGUAGUCAACAUGGCAAAACCUCGUCUCUACUAAAAAUACAAAAAUUAGCCAGGCGUGGUGGCCAAGGCAGGAGAAUCGCUUGAACCCAGGAGGCAGAGGUUGCAGUGAGCCGAGACGGUGCCACUGCACUCCAGCCUGGGUGACAGAAUGAGAUUCCAUUUAAAAGAAAAAAAAAAAUCUAAUCCUGGAUGAGAGUCCAGGGAAAGUGAGAGUGGAGAAAGCUUACAUGAAAACGCAGACCAGAUCCCUGAGUGUGGACCUGGAAAACGUGACACACGUCAUCAGAUUCAGAUGAAGGGAUAUUGCCUGAAGUUUCAUCAGCCUUCGGUGUGGAGUUGGCCUGAUGUCCCCCAAGAUGAAUAGACUUGUCUCUACCCAAAGAAGCUUCUUCCACUCUGAUAAAAGAAAGGAAAAAUAGGCAAAGCCACAGACAAUGUGAUGAGUAUUAUAAUAAGAGAUUUGUUUAGUUUGGCUCCAAACAUAGGAGGGAGUGGCCAACUGUAUCUGGGGUCAACCAGAAGUAGAAAGAGAAGUAGGCCCUGGCUGGUGGAGAAAUAUUUUACCAGGCAGAGGGAACAGUGUGUGCAAAGGCCCUGAGGUUUGAAUCCACCUGGAGUGCUAAGAAAAACAUGCACGGACAUCUGUGUAGCUGGAGUAAAGAUAGGAGAAGAGGCUGGUGAGGUGGGCAGAGAGCAAAUCUGAAAGAACUCCAAUCUCAAGUACGUGGCAAGGCCGGGCGCGGUGGCUCACACCUGUAAUCUCAGCACUUUGGGAGGCCGAGGUGCAUUGGAUCGCCUGAGGUCAGGAGUUUGAGACCAGCCCGGACAACAUGGCAAAACCCUAUCUCUACUAAAAAUACAAAAACUAGCUGGGAGUUGAACCCAGGAGGUGAAGGUUGCAGUGAGCCAAAAUGGUGUCACUGCACUCCAGCCUGGGUGACAGAGGGAAACUCCAUCUCAAAAAUUUAAUAAUAAUAAAAUAAAAAAAUAGAAGUGUGUGGCACCUCCCGUCCUCUCUCUCUUGCUCCUGCUUUCGACAUGUUAUGUGCCUGCUCCCUCUUCACCUUCCGCCAUGAGUGGAAAAGCUCCCUGAGGCCU
rnacentral:lncRNA from 1 species